CUUUCUCAUUACAGAGAGGACUUUUCAACUGAUACUGAAAUAUUCAAAGUCUAUUAGUGAGUUUCAGGCUGAAGAGAAGAGAGAGACCUGCGGCUGUUUCCGCCCACUCGUCCCAGCACAGCCACCAGAGAACGCCGCGUGGUUUGUUGUUUGGACCCUCCCAGAGCCUCUUCCAGAUGCUGUUGGAAAAAAAGAAAAGAAAAGCUGGGCAGCCAGUGUCACAGCCCAGAUGCCAUCUCGGUCUAUCCGCGGAAAUGCAAGCACGCAGCGCCAAGCCCAACCCAGUAGGUGCCAGGCCCUGGGUGCAGGCUUCAGCUUCACGCCACAUCCUCUCUCUCUUUUCAGUCUCUGAGUGACUUGACUCAGCCAGGGAGAGGAGAUACCUACACAUCCGCAUGAAGGCGCGUGGGAGGAAGCCGAGAAAUGACGGAUGGCGCAGGGCCUACUGCAGCCGCACGUAGACUAGCUCCUUCUUUACGGGCAAAACCCCCUACUUGUCUGCAGUGGGAAAGGAGUCCGUUCAGGGCAAGCUCUGAUCGCUGAGCUAUGGAUGUAGAUGGUAACUAGGCGUCUGGAGGUCAUUACACACCAUAUUCGGAUGGUGGAAAUCAUUGCUUAUUUCAGGACACUAAAAUGGUCCAUUUUUAUGUAUUAAAGUUAUUAAGAAUGAACUGGCUGGGCCGGAGUUGUGGCUCACUCCUGUAAUCCCAAGACUUAAGGAGGCGGAGGCGGAGGCGGAGGCGGGAGGAUCGUUUGAGGCCAGGAGUUCAAGACCAGACUGGGCAACAUAGUGAGAUACACACCCCACCGCCACCACCACCCCAACAAAAAACUUAACAAUUAGCUGGGCUUGUGGGUAUGUGACUUAGUCCCAGCUACUCCGGAGGCUGAGGUGGGAGGAUCACUGGAGUCCAGGAGCUCCAGGCUGCAGUGAGCUAUGUGAUUACACCGCUGCACUCUAGGCUGGGCAACAGAGGGAGACUCAAAAAAAAAAAAAAAAGAGCAAAUGGCUGGCUCACUGUAAGGAAUUUUGGAAUUUUAUCUGGUUAAAACAGGCUCUUCCCGCCCACUUCCUCACCCGCCUGGCUGUGCCUGCCCCAGUCCCACCCUGAGUGGUGGCUUACCCAGGUGUGGCCGCCCUGUGGUCAGCUCAGGAGGCAUCUCCGGGUGGGAAGGUGACUUAGUUGUCUCACAGUAAAGUUACACUGGGCCUCAGUAGAUAGUCUUUGGUCCCCUGUAUCAGCAUCCCCAGAGAGCUGUGCAAAUGCACAUUCCUGGCCCUAUGGCACUCUAAGCUGGACUCUGGGAGUGGCAGCUCAGAAGCUUUAGUAUAAGCAAGCUCCCGGCUGUUUCUUGUUGCAGAUUAGGGUUUGAGAACCACUCCUCUUUCGCCACAUUGUAAACUCACUAAAUGCUCUCCUAGUGAGUAAAUAAAUAUAAUAGAAUCUAACUCCUGCAAAGGUAUUAACCAGUCUGUCUAACAAUGGUGGACAUUUUUGUAAAGAAACUCUUGAAGUUUUCAAAACUUAAGUUUAAAAUGGCAGCUCCUUGGUUUGUGGGGAGAGCUGUCAGAGUGGGAACCCUGUCCACAUCCCCCCAGAUAUUCACAUACACCCACUACUCAUAGACUCCCAAUCCCAUGGCGAAGAACACGAUCUUGUUGGUGUUAUUUUCUCACUGCCUACCAAGCUGCCCAGCAGGCACUUUACAGACUUUAUCUCCAUAUUCAUAUCAGCGUACAAAGUACAAGUCCCAAUUUCCAGACAAGGAAACUGGGGUUCAGAAAGAUUAAACAAUUUGCCUUCUUAUAUUGCUACUAAGGGCCAAGGUGCAGAUUCAAAUCCAUUCAAGUCCCAAAGCUUGCAUGAUCUUACCACAGUCACCAAAAUCUAUUUCAUAAGUUCAAAAUGGCAUCAGAGGUUCAUAAUCAGGACAGGCAAUGCCCUGCAGGUUUAUCUAGAACACCUUUCCCACUUUACAGAUAAGAGGCAAUGCAGUAUGAACCUGAGGCUAGCUGAUAUGAUUUGUCUGAGCUGCUUAGUUUUGUUUAAGAAACUUGAAUUAUUCAAUAUUGAAAAUCCUUGAGAUUUUACACUAAAACUCAGACUUUUUCUCUCUUAUAAAAGCAGAUUUUUGUAACCCCGAACCCCAUUCCUGAUUCUGUUCAUGGUUAACUGUAUAGGUUUUGAAAUCCACAGACGUGGGUUUGAGUCCUGG
rnacentral:lncRNA from 1 species